rnacentral:rRNA from 1 species
AGGACGAACGCUGGCGGCGUGCUUAACACAUGCAAGUCGAACGAUGAAGCCUUUCGGGGUGGAUUAGUGGCGAACGGGUGAGUAACACGUGGGUAACCUGCCCUUGGCUUUGGGAUAAGCCCUGGAAACGGGGUCUAAUACCGGAUGUGACUGCUUCACGCAUGUGGGGUGGUGGAAAGUUCCGGCGGCCAGGGAUGGACCCGCGGCCUAUCAGCUUGUUGGUGGGGUAACUGCCUACCAAGGCGACGACGGGUAGCCGGCCUGAGAGGGCGACCGGCCACGACUGGGACUGAGACACGGCCCAGACUCCUACGGGAGGCAGCAGUGGGGAAUAUUGCACAAUGGGCGAAAGCCUGAUGCAGCGACGCCGCGUGAGGGAUGACGGCCUUCGGGUUGUAAACCUCUUUCGACCAGGACGAAGCGUAAGUGACGGUACUGGUAGAAGAAGCACCGGCUGACUACGUGCCAGCAGCCGC